UACGGAGUGUGCAAGCGUUACUCGGAAUCACUGGGCAUAAAGCGCGCGUAGGCGGGCUUUCAAGUCGGUUGUGAAAUCCCUCAGCUCAACUGAGGAACUGCAUCCGAUACUGUUUGUCUUGAGGACGAGAGGGGAGAGUGGAACUUCUGGUGGAGCGGUGAAAUGCGUAGAUAUCAGAAGGAACACCGGUGGCGAAGGCGGGUCUCUGGGCCGUAACUGACGCUGAGGAGCGAAAGCGUGGGGAGCGAACAGG
rnacentral:rRNA from 1 species